rnacentral:rRNA from 1 species
CGAGUAGGCGGCUUCCUAAGUCAGACGUGAAAUCCCUCGGCUUAACCUGGGAACUGCGUCUGAUACUGGGAGGCUAGAGUAUGGGAGAGGGAGGUAGAAUUCCAGGUGUAGCGGUGAAAUGCGUAGAUAUCUGGAGGAAUACCGGUGGCGAAGGCGGCCUCCUGGACCAUAACUGACGCUGAUCCGCGAAAGCUAGGGGAGCAAACGG